rnacentral:miRNA from 1 species
GAGGUGGGAGGAUCGCUUGUGCCUGGGAGGUUGAGACUGCAGAGAGCUGUGAUCGCACCACUGCACUCCAGCCUGAGUGACAGAGCAAGACCCUGUCUC